rnacentral:sRNA from 1 species
GUGACCUGCGGAGGAUCAUUACCGAGUCAGGGUCUUUUCAGGCCCGACCUCCAACCCUGUGCGUACCUACCUUUGUUGCUUUGGCGGGCCCGCCGGGGAGACCCGCCGGCGGCCUUUGGCCCCCGAGUGCCCGUCAGAGACCCAUCCAAACCUGUCAACGGUGUCGUCUGAGUACCAACAUAAUAAUUAAAACUUUCAACAACGGAUCUCUUGGUUCUGGCAUCGAUGAAGAACGCAGCGAAAUGCGAUAAGUAAUGUGAAUUGCAGAAUUCAGUGAAUCAUCGAAUCUUUGAACGCACAUUGCGCCUCUCGGUAUUCCGGGGGGCAUGCCUGUUCGAGCGUCAUUACACCACUCAAGCUCGGCUUGGUGUUGGGCCCUCGUCCCCCGUGGACGUGCCCGGAAAUCAGUGGCGGCGCAGCCCGGCUUCGAGCGGUAUCAGUUCAUCUUCGCUUUGGAAGCCCUGGGUCUGAGCCUGCCAGACAACCCCAUCAUUCCAUCAAGGUUGACCUCGGAUCAGGUAGGGAUACCCGCUGAACUUAAGCAUAUCAAUAAGCGGAGGAAAAGAAACCAACAGGGAUUGCCUCAGUAACGGCGAGUGAAGCGGCAACAGCUCAAAUUUGAAAUCUGGCUCUUGCAGGGUCCGAGUUGUAAUUUGCAGAGGAUGCUUCGGGUUCGGCUCCGGUCUAAGUUCCUUGGAACAGGACGUCACAGAGGGUGAGAAUCCCGUACGUGACCGGCCGCCACGCCCGUGUGAAGCUCCUUCGACGAGUCGAGUUGUUUGGGAAUGCAGCUCAAAAUGGGUGGUAAAUUUCAUCUAAAGCUAAAUAUUGGCCAGAGACCGAUAGCGCACAAGUAGAGUGAUCGAAAGAUGAAAAGCACUUUGGAAAGAGAGUCAAACAGUACGUGAAAUUGUUGAAAGGGAAGCGCUUGCAACCAGACUUGCCCGCGGGUGAUCAGCCGGUAUUCUUACCGGUGCACUCGCCCGCGGUCAGGCCAGCAUCGGUUUGGGCGGCUGGAUAAAGUCCACCGGAACGUAGCUCCUCUCGGGGAGUGUUAUAGCCGGAGGUGCAAUGCAGCCCGCCCGGACCGAGGACCGCGCU